AUUUUUGGGAACGGAAUCUUGAGACCACACCUAAAGCAUUUGGUAUGGUUUGGGUAUCAUUAAUUUAAUGAAUUUUUAAAAAAUAUAUGCAUCAUUAAGAUCUUGGUUUUCAUAUUUUUGGUUGCAAUCAUUUUAUACAGAUAAACAGUGCAAAUAUUAAGAAUAAAUUAUAUUAUCUUGUAGUUGAUCAUAGUCGUGAAAAAGAAAAUACACCAGAAGGUCCUACUCAGAAAGGUCUUCGUGAAGCCAGAGAACAAAACAAAUGUAAAACAAAGAUGAAAGGCAAUACAAAGGAUUCAGAAUUUCCCAUAGAUAUGCAACCAAAUCCAAACCUGAAUGUUUGUAAAGAAAAUCUUUCUCCAGCAAAAUUUGACUACAAGCUGAAAAACAUUUUUAGACUACAUGAACUUCCAGUGAGCUGUCCCAAAUUUAUGUAACCGAUCUUCAAGAAAUCUAAGACUUGUACAAAAACAUAUGGCAUUUGUUUUGUAAUUGCUCCUAUUAUUCUUAAGGAGGACUAAUGACUCAGAAGAGACAUUAACCACUCUUUAACACAUAUAUUUUACCUGUAGUGAGUAUUUUUUUUUAUUUGCAAACUUCCUCUGCUCUUGAUGACCAUAUGGCAUGUGCAAUCUACUUCCUAAACCCCAUUUGUUGAUUAUUUCCUGGUAGCAAGAAUGUUGUCUGUGGUAUAUGUCAUGAGAACAUAGCACAUAUGAAUACUUCUGUCAUGACCAAAAGCAGUAGGUGAAUGAAUUGAAAAGGUCUGUUAGUAAAGGGAACCAUAAAAAUGAUACAUUUGUACCUUAGUGUUCUAUUUCAAGAUAAAACAAGUGCCUGUACAUUCAUAUGCUAGUCUUUUGGUGUAAGGUCACGACUUUUUCUUAAAUGUCUAUUGAAUGGAAUUCUACACAAUAUUUCUUACCUAAGCCAUGCCAGUAAUGGGUCUUCUAC
rnacentral:lncRNA from 1 species